rnacentral:rRNA from 1 species
CUGACGAGCGGCGGACGGGUGAGUAAUGCAUAGGAAUCUGCCCGAUAGUGGGGGAUAACCUGGGGAAACCCAGGCUAAUACCGCAUACGUCCUACGGGAGAAAGGGGGCUCCGGCUCCCGCUAUGGGAUGAGCCUAUGUCGGAUUAGCUAGUUGGUGAGGUAACGGCUCACCAAGGCCACGAUCCGUAGCUGGUCUGAGAGGAUGAUCAGCCACAUCGGGACUGAGACACGGCCCGAACUCCUACGGGAGGCAGCAGUGGGGAAUAUUGGACAAUGGGGGAAACCCUGAUCCAGCCAUGCCGCGUGUGUGAAGAAGGCCCUCGGGUUGUAAAGCACUUUCAGCGAGGAAGAACGCCUAGCGGUUAAUACCCGCUAGGAAAGACAUCACUCGCAGAAGAAGCACCGGCUAACUCCGUGCCAGCAGCCGCGGUAAUACGGAGGGUGCAAGCGUUAAUCGGAAUUACUGGGCGUAAAGCGCGCGUAGGUGGCUUGAUAAGCCGGUUGUGAAAGCCCCGGGCUCAACCUGGGAACGGCAUCCGGAACUGUCGAGCUAGAGUGCAGGAGAGGAAGGUAGAAUUCCCGGUGUAGCGGUGAAAUGCGUAGAGAUCGGGAGGAAUACCAGUGGCGAAGGCGGCCUUCUGGACUGACACUGACACUGAGGUGCGAAAGCGUG